AACUUUAUAUGUUUCACGUCAGUUGCUGCCAGCCAGUCAGGCUGGAACACAAACAUACAUUCACUCAUUUAUUCAACUGAGAAAUAGGAGCCCGUGUGCCAGGCGCUCGCCGAUCUAAGGGCUGGGUGUGCAAUGUGAACAAAGCAAACAAGGCCCUGGCUCUCAUGAGCGGAAGCUGAUAGUUGGCAAAUGAACAGGUAAACAAUAGGAUCCGUUUAGACAGCGACUGUCUAGAGUAGGGAGAAAACCCAGGGGAUGGGAUGGAAGGAGACCAGGGUGAAGAGCGGUCAGGAAAGGCUCUUCUGGAGAGAGAACAUGUAAGCUCAGACCCAGAUCAGAAGGACCCAGCCACGCGUAGAUGUGAGGGGAGAGCACAAACCAGAACGUGGAAAGAACAAGCGCAGCAGGCUGAGGAGGGAAGUUGGAGUGUUAAAAAAUACAAAGACAGCCCAGCCAGGGGGGCCCAGAGACUGAGCGUUGACUUACAAACUAGGAGGUCACCGUUCGAUUCCUGGACAGAACACAUGCCCAGGUUUCGGGCUCGGUCCCUGGUUGACGGCAUCCAAGAGGCAGCUAAUUGACGAUUCUCUCUCAUCGUUGAUAUUUCUGUCGCUCCCUCUCCCUUCCUCUCUGAAAUCAAUAAAAAUGUAUUUAAAAAAAAAGAAUACAAAGACAGCCAGUGGGACUGGACUGCAGUGAGCAAGGGGAGAGCAUGAGGGGGCCGGUGAGGUAGGGGAAGCAGGGCCAUGGGGACCCAGUAUAAAUCAGUUUUAGGAAAUCUACUUCCUAUGUUAGGAAAGCAGGGGGAAUAUUCAGGGUUAGU